GGUGCGGUUGAGCCGAGGGUCUCCAUAACCUCUGGGCAGGGGAAUGGUGGCCGCGGUGGGGGGGGGGGAUACUCCUAAAACUAGGUCAGCCCCACACCGAGUCAGCUGGACUUCGGGAGGGGCGAGGAGCCGAAGCCCUGCUAUAUUCCCCACGUCCCGGAGAGGCGCACAGUGAGAGGAGGCGGCAGCGGCGAGCAGGUUCCCACGACGCGAGCCCCAGCAGCGUUACCUGCUUUGCCAGCCCUGGAUGAGGGAGAGAACGUGCCCAAGUCCACACAGUGGGAUUCUAUUACUGAAGUGGAAACUGAACCCAGCUCUUCUAGGCACCAAGUCUAGCAGCAUCUACUAGACCAGAGGGGUUCCAAACCUUGGACCCCCAGAUGUCGUUGGACUACAUUUCAUGACCCCUAGCCACAGUGACUUUGGAAUGGCUGUACAAGACAAAAUAGCUGUUUGCAACUGUAACUGCAUACCAUGAAAAUAUGAGGUUACUCAGCUGUAUGCUGGUGAAAACAUUUAAAAUCAGGACAUGAACCUGUCAGUGCAUGGGCGUGAAUAGCAUAGCCCUGGUCUCAUCCUUUAUUUUCCAAGAUCAACUGCACCCAUUUGUGGUUUAAGGACAUGUUAACUCAGUUACUCAGCUUUCGUGAUUCAUGUUUAUUUUUAGAAUCUUCUCACUUCUUAAAGCGCAUAGCUGGCAUACGAAUAUUGGAAGCUUCCCAAAAUGUAAGCUAACACAAUGUGAAAGUUAUUCCAUCAUUAGCCUUUUUUUAAAGGGACAAAAAACCAUGAUCAUGGAGCAAGAAAAUAAAUUAGCACGGUUGCUUGAA